UACGAAGGGGGGCUAGCGUUGCUCGGAAUCACUGGGCGUAAAGGGCGCGUAGGCGGCCGAUUAAGUCGGGGGUGAAAGCCUGUGGCUCAACCACAGAAUUGCCUUCGAUACUGGUUGGCUUGAGACCGGAAGAGGACAGCGGAACUGCGAGUGUAGAGGUGAAAUUCGUAGAUAUUCGCAAGAACACCAGUGGCGAAGGCGGCUGUCUGGUCCGGUUCUGACGCUGAGGCGCGAAAGCGUGGGGAGCAAACAGG
rnacentral:rRNA from 1 species